rnacentral:lncRNA from 1 species
CUAAGGUUCUGGAUGAACGUUUGCUUCCACCAAUGAGAAGCACAUGUGUGAGAUUUGGAAGUUGGAAGUGAGAUGAAGGCCUCCUUCUUCCAAAUGAGCUGCCGGCUCAUCGGUGUUUGCAGCCAGGCUCAGCAUUCCAGUGUCGAGUAAUCAAUCAGCUUUGCCAUCAUCUAUAGGCAGUGACCAAGAUGCAGCAGUCAUUGUGCAGUCACCAAUUUUGGGGGGAACUGAGGCAACUGUGGGACUCAAGCAGUGGAAACAGCAGCAAUUUUCUGGCCUCUGGAUUGUAGUUGUGUGCCUUGAAAUCAAUAUCUAGCAGUGGGCCACUGUCUUCUGCUGCUGGAACCCAACCUACAAUUUUGUUUGUUUCUAAUUCUUGCUAUAGAAGCCUUGGUGUGGUGGAAGCAGAGGAAAGGAGCCCCCAGCUGCAAUUUCCUAAGCACUGGGCGGAGUAUGGGACCAGGGCUGCUCGGACCAGGGCUGCUUUUUGCCUCCAUGCAGAGCUAACAGCCUUUGAAAAAGGAUCAGACGUUUGCUCUUCCACCUAUGCUGUAGUCAACUCAGCUAAUUAAUUGAGAAAUUAUUAGCCCUGAGCUAACUACUGCCAAUCCUGCUCUUUUUGCUGAGGAAGACUGGCCCUGAGCUAACAUCUGUGCCCAUCUUCCUCUACUUUAUUCGUGGGACGCCUGCCACAGCAUGGCUUGUCAUGCUGUGCCAUGUCUGCACCCGGGAUCCAAACCUGCGAACCCUGGGCUGCUGAAGCAGAAUGUGGGAACUUAUCCGCUGCGCCACCGGGCUGGCCCUUGAAAUCACUAUCUUGAAGAGAUAUCUUCUUCCCC